CUCAGCAUAGGGAGGUUCCCAGGCCAGGGGUCCAAUCGGACCUACAGCUGCGGGACUAUACCACAGCCACAGCAAUGCCAGAUCCGAGUCGCGUCUGCAACCUACACCACAGCUCACAGCAACAUCGGAUCCUUAACCCACUGAGUGAGGACGGGGAUCGAACCCGCAACCUCAUGGUUUCUUGUCCGAUUUGUUUCCACUGAGCCACCACAAGAACUCCCACCUUUUUUUUUUUUUUUUUGAUGGGUGCACCCGAGGGAUAUGGAAGCCCCCAGCCAGGGAUGGAACCCAAGCCUCAGCUACAACCUAUGCCAGAGGUGCGGCAAUGCUGGAUCCUUUCACUCACUGUGCCAGGCUGGGGACUGAACCAGCGCCUCUGCAGUAACUGGAGCUGCUACAGGUGGAUUCUGAACCCACUGCACCACAGUGGGAGUGCCCCGUUGCAUACAUUUCAAAAGUAAAAUGGACAGUUCAUGAACGUGCCUUACUGUCACUUGCCUUUUAAAACACAGAAGACCUGCCUUCCAGGCUUCAGGGGCUGGCGUCUCGUCGGGUGAGACUGCACCGAGCUGCCCUUCCCUCAGGGGGGCUCUGCCCCGUGACCACCACCCAGAGGGGAGCUGUCAGUCGGCUGGAUGGUCAUCUGGGGGAGGACAGGACAGACCACUGGCCACUCAAGGGAGCAGCAGGUGGGUCUGACCAAGAGACAGGUUUGCCUGAUGACACACGGAGACUCUGAGACCAGUUUAAGGUACGCCACGAGCACAAGGUCUAAAUCACAGAUGCUGGAGUUCCUGUCGUGGCACAGGGGUUAACGAAUCCGACUAGGAACCCUGAGGUUGCAGGUUCGAUCCCUGGCCUCGCUCAGUGGGUGAAGGAUCCAGCGUCACCGUGACCUGUGGUGUAGGUCCCAGAUGCAGCUCGGAUUCCGCGUUGCUGUGGCUCUGGCACAGGCCGGCGGCUAGAGCACUGAUUAGACCCCUAGCCUGGGAACCUCCAUAUGCCCUGGGCGGGUGAGGCAAGAGGCAACCACCGUGUUAUCGGGUGAAGGGGGCGGAGGCUUUAUCUGGGCUUGUUCUUGAGGCUGCCCCUUUGUGGGGGGGGGGGAGUCUGUACAUUUCAGUUUCCUGAUCUAAACUAACGGGUAACAGCUACCUCGCAAGGCAGUCCUGGGGAUUACGGCUGAUGUGCACGAAACAACCCUGGCCUGGCCACACAUCAUUUCCGAGGCUUUGCUGUUAGGGGGAGGGGAGGCAUCCUCUCCUGACAGCAAAACAUAACCGUUUCACACAGGAAACACCUCUGCUUGGACAAGUUAAGAAAGACUUCAUAGGUAAUCCUUUAAUUACAGACAUUCUAGUUUAAUCUCAAAAUGAGAAACCGGACCAUUAAAAUUGCAUGGGAAGAGCCUCAUGAGUCACAGUACACGGUAAAUACAGCACAAUACAAACUGUCAUCCGGGGUGUUCCUGCUGUGGCACAACAGGACUGGCAGCUCCUCUGGAGCACUGGGACACAGGUUCGAUCCCCAGCACAGCACAGUGGGUUAAGGAUCCCUCACUGGCCGCAGCUGUGGUGCAGGACGCAACUGUAAGUCGGAUCUGAUCCUUGGACCGGGAGCUCCAUAUGCCACCAGGCGGGCAAAAAAAAAAAAAAAAAAAAAGGAACAAAAAUUGUUAUCCAGAAUACAACUUCUUUUUCAGUUAAUUAAAAAAAAUAGAUGUGGGAGUUCCCACUGUGGCACAGUGGAAACAAAUCCGACUAGUAUCCAUGAAAAUGUGGGUUUGAUCCCUGGCCUCACUCAGUGGGUCGGGGAUCCGGCGUUGCUGUGGCUGUGGUGCAGCUCACAGCAACACCAGAUCCUUAACCCACUGAGCGAGGCCAGGGAUCGAACCUGCAACCUCAUGCUUACUAGUCAGAUUCAUUUCCUCUGCGCCACAACGGGGAACUCCACAUCAUGUGAUCAUUUUAAAUAGAGAGACAAAGUCUCACCUUAGAUAAAUCCCACCUUGUCCCCUUACCCCAGCCUCACUGCGCUUUAGUCACUGAUUCAACAAACACCUGUGGAGCAUUCACUCCAGCCCAGGACCAAUGCAGGCAUCUCAGGCCGGAGCCCUGGAGAGGCACCAUCAGCAUCCUGUCAGGCGGGUGGUCAGCCCAGGAGCCAGUGCGGAGGCCUGACCUCAAGUUCUAGGUCUGGGACUGAGCACAGAGCACCCAUCCUGUGUGAGCGAGGGGCACUCAAGAACAAAAAGGGCUGAGAGAGACCCAGUGCACUGACAGAACGAACGAAAACCAAGAAAAUAAACUCACUCUGCGUGAAGAUUCUGCAAACGACUCAAGUCCUUUAGUCACAAAGCAGGAUUCAGUGUGCUCACAACAGCCUCACAGCAGAGAGCGAGCCGAGGGUCAGGAACGGCUCACUUCCCUGUGACUCGAACAGUUUACUGCAUCUCACGCCACUUCAUCAACAAAUGAACAGCAUGUGGGCUUUACCUGGGGCGGGGGGCGGCAAAGACAAAACUUCUAAAAGCAUCGUUAUAGUGGCAGAUCAGACAAAACCUUUUGGUUCUGAGCAAACUCGAGACUAAAAGUGGCAAAAAGAUUUACAGGGAAGUCCCGCACAGAUCACCUCUGCGCCCUGCCUCUGGACUGGCUGUCCUCUCCUGAGAGGGAGCUGACUUGCCACGGACCUCCCUCAGCACCCAGCGCCCAACUAUUCAGCACUCACCCACAACGACUUCCCAGUGACAAGGUCGCUGUGCUGCAGAGCUGCUGCUAAGCUCAUCACUCUCCUUCAUUCGACCAGUGUUUACCGGGCACAGAGUGUGUGCCAGGAACUGUUCUUCGCACCAAACAGCCACCCUGUGGACCUUACCCCACAGUAAAGGAUUACGCGUAACAAACGUACUAAAGAGACUUCAGAAGAAUUAAGUGCUGUGGGAAAUUAAACAGGAAAGGGAAUCAGGAAACCGGAGGUGGCGAGCUGGAAUUCUAGGUAAGAUAGGGAAGGCCUGCCCUCACUGGGCCUAAGAGUGAGGAAGUGAGGGAUCCGGGCAGAUCCGAGGACAGAGCACAUGAGUCUGUUGAGAGAAUGGCCAAGAGGCCAUGGCGGUGGGGGUCAGAGGGUGGCAAGGGGCGUCCCUCCCCAACAAAGGUGCCCACCCAAGGCCACAGGCUCCAGAGCCGAGGUCCCUCAGCAAGGCUGUCUCCUCCACAUGCAGACCUAAGCGUCUGCUCACCACAGAUGCCCAGGUGGUCUGCUUUCGCCACGGCCAAGGGGAACAGGCGCAACACACACGACCCUCAGAUCCCAGGGCUAGUGGAGGCACCUGCCCCACAGCCAGAGCGGCUCCUACAGCCCUUGGUUUGGCCACAGGCCCCCAGAGGUGCCCGGGGUCCCAGAGUCCUGACAGGUCAAAGGAGAGCUGCUGGCUCUCAGUUAUAAAGUUUCCCAAAGCCCUUAAGUCCUGCCUCAUAGCGUCACCUCUCAUUUGACAGAUGACACGAUGCUGACACUCACGACAACACUGAACAAGAGAGGAGCAAGAGAAUAAACAUAAAAUCUCAGAGCUUUGCCUUUAGGCAACCAAGUCACAGACGGGCCAGUACACUUGUUUUGUCAUUAAGAUAGUUUGUAAACAGACAGAGGUGUCCAGCACGGCACCCAUUAGGCUACGACCGGCUGGUUAAAAUGUCUCCUUAUCAAACCUCAACACGAAAAUCAAAAUAAAACUGAAACUUUUGCUUCCCUUCCUGUGUGGCACAACCAAAUGCACUCCGAUAAAUCGUCUCAGGCACAUGAAAAAGGGGCUCCUUAAUCCAGCCUCUCAACACGAACAAGUUAGAACCUGAAGGGAAGAGCUCCCGACACUGUCUCCGCAAGACAAUACACAGCGAUGCUCCAAAUAAUGUCCUUGCGACGCAGAGAAAACACUUCUUUCUUACCAGGCCGACGAUUCACACCCCCGAGAUUAAUUUACAGCGCGUCAAGGAACAAAGCUCACUUCGCCGAGCUCCAAGCGUGACCCGGGGACAGGUUACGUGGCUGCUGCAUCCGGCGGCUCUGCCCCCCGCGGCCCC
rnacentral:lncRNA from 1 species